UACGUAGGGGGCGAGCGUUGUUCGGAUUUACUGGGCGUAAAGGGCGCGUAGGCGGUCAGCACAAGUCAGUUGUGAAAUCUCCGGGCUUAACUCGGAAAGGUCAACUGAUACUGUGCGACUAGAGUGCAGAAGGGGCAACUGGAAUUCUCGGUGUAGCGGUGAAAUGCGUAGAGAUCCGGAGGAAUACCAGUGGCGAAGGCGGCACGCUGGGCCAUAACUGACGCUAAGACUCGAAAGCAUGGGUAGCGAACGGG
rnacentral:rRNA from 1 species